rnacentral:sRNA from 1 species
CCCAGUGUGAGAAAAGGAAGAACCAAGGAAGACACGGGUGCUGGCACUGUGUGUGAACCACUGGCUCCUCCCCCCAGGGAGUUUAGGGGGCUCUGAGGGACACAGCACAUGCAGGAUGGAAAGACAGAACUGGCUCCAAGUCUGUGUAGGAGUGGGACAACAUAGAGUCCUGGAGGGCUUCUAGGAAGAGGUGACACUGGCCUGGGGUUCUAAAAGCCAAACCUGAAUUUAUCAAUUGCUCACAGAAACAGGGAAUGGACAAUUGGAACAGCUCGUGCCAAGGCACAGAGGUGCAACCUAACCUAGGGGUGUGCUGGCAGCAGGCCAACUGAUUCAGGGUAACUGGGCGACAUAGAGAAGUGGUUGGUUGGAAAGAAAAGUGGUCAUGGGCCAGGACGGCUUGGAAAACCUGCUAAGCCUUGGCACUUCAGAGCUGGAACUUUCUACAGCUUUUAAGCAGGAUAGGAUAUGAUCAAUAUUUAGCAAGGGGUCUGAUAAGGAGAUAGGAGGCCUCUGCCAUCAGGCAGGGCACAGACAGGGCUGGGGGCCAAGAGAGGGUGGGGUCAACUGAGAUGGCAGCUCACCCCCUGACCCUUACCGGGUGUCCCAUUUCCUUAGUCUGUUGAGGAGACUGGGGCCCGCAGAGAUUAGAGACCCGGAGUGACUGAGGGCCUUUGGUGGUUCAUGAGCAGCUGCGUCCUCUCCCCUACAGCCUGUACUCAGAACAACACUCCGCAUAGCCAAGCCGUGUUCAAAGAAAGUUUGCUACUGGGCAAUUGCUUCAGCUCUGUGGUUUUCCGUUCAAGAGAGAGCCGAGUUCAUUGAACUUUAGGGCAGCUGUUUCCUCGUCUUCUCUCCACUGCAAUAAUACAGUUAAUGGGAUUAUUUCCUGCACAUAAGAACAGGGCUGCUAAGAAAACACUUUGGAGCGAAGGCUGUUUGCAGAGGCCAGGCUGAAAGGCAAGCUCACACCAGGAGGAAGAACAGGGCGUGUUUCCACACGAGCUCAGGUGGAGCGAUGCCAUCCACACCUCAGUCUGCCUUCCCCUCCGCCCCACUAGGCUCUGAUUCACAGGUUUCUCAGGACUACCGGCCAGUUUCCCGGCCUCUCAGGAGAUCCCAAGAUCGCCUAGCCUUGAAACGCUGAGCAGGGAACACAGUCUCCAGAGGUGAGUCUCCAGAACACAGAAACUGGCUCUUAGCAGCGAAGAGGACCACGUUGCCUGGGACUUAACUGUUCUUUGCACUGCAUGCUGUGCCCUUAAGGGGAUGGGAGGAUGGGAUGUGGGGGAGUUCACUCAGCAGCUAUGUGCACGCAUGCGGAUUUGUGUGGGAGGCACCCGUUCCCCACCUAGUGUACCCUACCUGUUUGCACACACAGUGUGUUCAUGUACUCGGACUGUGUCACAGGUAGCUGCCAAAUCCCUGGUCCCCAUGUCUCCAGCUGGUCACCCCAUCCAUUCCAGGAGUCAGAGCUGCAGGACUGAGGUCGAUAAGGACUGGCUGUCUUGUUUACAUUAGACUCUCCUUUUCCCCAGUCAAUACGUCCUUGGACGAUGCGUAUACCAUCCUCUCUAAGCCUUGUGUCUACAAGAGGGGUUCAGGGCCACAGUCCUAAAUACCUAGGAGGAGCCUAGGGAAAGCACACUGUUGUUUGUAUCUCUGUGGCUGCCACACCAGACCCCAGACCUUGCACGGAAAGGAGAGCUAAAGGCCACAGCCAUUCAUCACCAUAAAUGUGGUGGGCAAGGUUCUAACUCAGCCGCCUGGAGCACAGAGGUGAGCAAGGUUGGAGUGCGGUACCACGGCCCCCACACAGCCCCCCAGACUCCGUAAAGCUUCCCUCUAACCUGAGGAUGAAUCCCCACUUGGAACACACACGUGGUCGGGCCUGGUGGGGUAGAGCACCUACAGUUCUCCAGAAUCAUGGGGCUGGCCCCAAAGGCCACCCACCCACUGCAGGGACUGGCAACCAUGCAGGGCAAGGUAAACUACCCAAGAUUGCUCUCUGGAAUGUGGUGGCUGGGAAAGGUAACACGCAUAUUACUGCUAUGUAAACACAGUUAAACUAUUUACAAGACAGGCUUAGGCCUGGGGGCCCCAGGAAGCCCCUGCCAUGUGGGGUGUGGGACCUACCCCUCUUCCAAAGCUCUGCUGGCCACGAUGGUGAAGAAGAUGAUCCUUGGCCUUUUCUGGAAGCCACCCCACCCAGGUCCCCUUAUGGGCCGUUCAUUGGCCCAUCGCACUGUCUGUUCACAGACUAGGGCUGGGGACAAAGGUGUUUAAUAUAGAAAAGAAGUUUACUUGCAGAAGCUUGCCGUUCUAUAGGCUCAAAACACCUGAUUGGCUUUUGUGAGGGCGGCAUGGUAUAUGGUAUCCUGUUGACAUGCACUGAAGUGUGUAGAAGAGAUUAUACAGAAGUCAGAGAGACUCAGGGACCAGGCUAGCUCUUUCCAACAGCCUCUUCUCGGUGUGCACUUACUUGCUCCUUGAGACCAGCAUCAAACUGCUCGUUUUGGAGCAGUUUGCAGAAGAUGCUUUGCAAGUAAGUGCUCUGCCCCACAUUCCAAGGAGGCCUUGGGAGAGAUCUCCAUGUAGAAUGCAAAGCAAUAAACGGAGGCAGAAGCCCCGUGCUUCCCUGAGGAGCCCCUCGGGGGCUGUGUUUAGGACUGUGGCCCUGAACCCCUCUUCUAGAGGGGAGAGCCAGUCCCCUGCCCAGAGCCUCAGGUCUAAAGGGGACAAUUUUUGCCUAAGCUCAUGUCUCACCACACCCAAUCUAAGAAGCAAGGCUAGUCUUGAAGGCUCCAACAUCCAGCCCACUUUUUCUUGGGGUGACCGGACCAGAAAGUUCAAGACUAGACAUGAGCUGCCCUGAAGAGCAAAGGCCCCAAGGAUGGUUGAGCUGUGCCUGCAACUGCAGAUUCAUAACCAGGGCUGGACCCUUCUCUGUGCCCAGGACAGAUGUCAUGCUUAUCCUCUGCCUUCUCCUGGAAGUUAUCCCCUACUGGCUAAAUUCGAAAAGCUCGCCAGCUUCCCAAAGAGGUCGAAGCUGAUACAUGCUAGAGGGAUUGCUUAUGACUGAGUGAAGAUGCUACUGUUCUCUUCCCAGCCCUUCCAGGCUCUGUCUGCCUGGCUGCCCCUCCUCCAGCCUCCCGGAUUUGCUUCUGCACACGCUGGGGUCAUCCUGAGCACCGUACCCAAGCCUUUUUGAGAAGCACUGCCCACAAGACCUCCCUUUCCCUCCCAGAACCCCUGCCAGCCCAGAGUGGUUACUCUGACUGACUUAUGAUGUUCCCAGAUACUUAGUCGAUGGUCUUCUCUGAAGACCUUGCUCCUAGUUUGGUGGCCCACAAAUAUUUCCUCUAACUUCCCACUACUGGGAAGUGGGAAUUUUGGCUCUCCUACUCUGGUUAGGAAACUGAGAUUGGGGGCGAGAAUAGGUUAGCUCCCGGGGUCAGAUGGCUUGCGGUAUGGCAGGACAUUCUGAUAUCCAUGUUCUGAUUACUGCACUGCUCUGCCCAUGUGACCAUGGACACUGAGGAACAAGGUGUGUCCUCCAUCGUGCUGGGUUAGGAAAGGGUCCGAUUCAGUUCAAAGGAACCAUUUAUUACAUCGAUUGAUUUUGUGAGCUCAUGUGCACCACAUGCAUGCAAGUGCCCUUUUGGCCAGUAGAGGGCGCUGGAUUCCCUGGAACUGGAGUUACAAGUGGCUUAAACUGCCUGCUGUGGGUGCUGGGAACUGAACCUGGGUCCUCUGUCAGAGCGGUAUGUCUUCUUAAAUGCCAAACUGUCUCUCCAGCCCUGGCAUAAGCCUUCAGAUCAGUUCAGUAAACACAUAGAAAUACAACUGGGGACCCUAUAAGAUCCCCAUAGUUAGCAUUGUAGGAGACAGCCAGGUGGUCUCCCCAGGUGGCUGGAGCAGUUCUCAUCCUUCUGGCAAUGAUGGGGAAAAGAUUUUAUUUUUGUUUUUGUUGUUGUUUGUUUGUUUCUGGGACAGGAUCUUACUAUGUACCCCUAGCUGGCCUGAAAUUUGCUAUAUAAUUCAGGUUGGCCUUGAACUCAGAGACACCCUCCUGCCUCUGCCUCCUGAAUGCUGGAAUUAGGAGCUACCACACCUGUCUACACAUUUUGGCAUCAGCAGAGAGGAAUCCAGCAGAAUUUCCUGCAAUGUUCAGCAUCUGCCCUGUUCAAUUUGCUCCAGUGCUUUGAGCAGCUGAGGUGCUGAAUGGCCGCCAUAUGCCAAACAGAUCCAGAAAGAGUCACCUGCAUCCUGUGGAGACUGGACCAUGAGUGCAGAUGCACAGGCCAAGAGCUUAGGGUCCUGGCUAGGCGGUCCGGUUAGGAAGUAUUGAAGCAAUGUUAGCAGCCACCCAGUGAGAAAAGUUACUGAAAUACACGAAAUCCUCCUGCCUCAGCCUCCAGAAUAGCUGGGAAUAUAAGUCAGUGCCUCUGGAUAACAGGCCUGUGUGUCUGCUCCAUUCUGAAUAUCUCCUGAGCUCAGGAAAAAGGAGUCCUUUCCACCACGUGAGGACCAUGAGAAUAGUGAGACACGUCUCAUCUGGUUAUACAGAACGCCCCUGGGAGAGGCAGCCAGGAGCACACACAAGAGAGGUUUGCUGAGCAUCUGAUGGUGGGGUGUGACCUUUCUCCAUUCCAGUUGCUCUGAACAGGGAGUUGUAAAAGACUCUAUCCUCUCUGAACACUGUUUCCAUGGACUCAUCUGCCAGGCUCGGGCUAAUAGCUGGAGGUGGCAGGGCAGUACAGGAAAGCGACGAGCUUCUAAGAAACGGUUGAGCUGGAUACAAAGCCAGGGCCCAAAGCUAGGUCUUUGGAAUUCCCCCUUUCUGUCCAGCAGCUGGGAAACCAGUUCCUCCAUUUCAGAGAACUGGUGCAAGCUUGUAUCCUUUGCUUCUUUUGCAGCAAAAGCCUGAGCAGCUGUGGGUGGAGGUUUCCCAACUCCAAGACUCCUUGGUGUCCCCAGAGGCAUAACCUCAAAUUCCUCUCAAAGAACGAGAAGUCAAUGAUCCUCUGAGAGUCCCCAAAGCCCUUGCCUUCAUCUUGGCUCACUACCUCCUGGCUUCUCGUAGGACAGGGCAGGGUUAAGGAGCCUCUAUGAAUUGUGUCUUUGUAGAGCAGUGGUUCUCAAUGCUGCGGCCCUUUAAUUGGGUUUCUCACGUGUGGUGCCCCCCAAUCGUCUACUUCGUAACUGUCAUUUGCCACUGAUAUGAAUCAUAAUGUAAAUCUCUGACAUACAGGAUAUCUGAUGUGACCCCAAUGGAGCCUUGACCCACAGGUUGAGAACCACUGUCUUAGUCACCUGACCCACUGUGGGAGACUCUUGUUUCUGUAGCCAGGAGCAACAAAACACCAACGAGAGCCAAGGAGAAAACCGACCAUCCCAUGUGUGUAACAUCUGGGCAUGGGGCAUGAAGGGUGGGGAUCAUCUUAGCAUUCCUUUUUCUGUAAGAGAUGGCAAGAAAUGUAAGGCCACAAUUCAAGAAGGACUUCUGCCUGGUGAGAGACUUGAGAUAGCGUCCUGUUGCAUUCAAGGCGGGGAUCAGGCGGACCAUGAGAUACUCCAACAGAGUGGUGUUGAGGGAAAUGUGGAAUUUAGACACAAGACGCACAGUAUGUUUCUCAGUUGGAUUUGGGGUGACGGGGUACAGUGAGUGGUGAAGUCGAGAUGUGGCCACCCCAGUAACAGGUCCAGACUCAGGCUCACUGCUUCUGCUCCGUCCACACUGCUCUCUACUGUAGACCACCUCACUGUAGAGACAAUGAGACACUAGGAUUCCUCCCAGAGGUCAGCACUGACAGGCCCCUAUGUCUUUGUAUAGGGAAACUUUCCCUAAUCCCAUGAAGGCCCUGGGGGGGGGGGGCUUUUAGAUUGGCUUCCACAGCAGGACUUCAGCUUUUGAAAGACUGAAGCUUCAGGACGGCCUACCCAACUAUCCAGUUCUGGGUCCAGGGAGGAAUGAGAUCACCUGAGGCUAAGAUAGACCUCGGGUCAGCAGGUGAGGAUGUUGACUCUGGGAUCCAUGGCCUCCUGCCCCACCCCCACCAUGUUACUUGCUUAUCUCAGUACUGUGACAAAGACCUAACAAACAACUUAAGAAAGGAAGGGGUUAUCUCAGCUCAUUGCUUUGUUAUUACUUAUUUAUUUAGUGU